UACGAAGGGGGCUAGCGUUGUUCGGAUUUACUGGGCGUAAAGCGUGCGUAGACGGUUAUUUAAGUCGGGUGUGAAAGCCCCGGGCUCAACCUGGGAAUUGCAUUCGAGACUGAAUAGCUAGGGUACGGUAGAGGGAAGCGGAAUUUCCGGUGUAGCGGUGAAAUGCGUAGAUAUCGGAAGGAACAUCAGUGGCGAAAGCGGCUUCCUGGACCAGUACCGACGUUCAGGCACGAAAGCGUGGGGAGCAAACAGG
rnacentral:rRNA from 1 species